rnacentral:rRNA from 1 species
GGAUAACCUGCCCUCAGGUCCGGCAUAACCUCGGGAAACUGAGGAUAAUUCCGGAUAUCCCUUUUCUGCUGGAAACGCUUAAAGGGACAAAGAAUUUCGCCUGAGGAUGGGUCUGCGGCCUAUCAGGUUGUAGAGGGUGUAACGUACCCUCUAGCCGACAACGGGUACGGGUUGUGAGAGCAAGAGCCCGGAGAUGGAUUCUGAGACAUGAAUCCAGGCCCUACGGGGCGCAGCAGGCGCGAAAACUUUACAAUGCAGGAAACUGUGAUAAGGAGACACCGAGUGCUCGCAUCAAAUGCGGGCUGUCCGCAUACUUAAAUCGUAUGCGUUAGCAAGGGCCGGGCAAGACCGGUGCCAGCCGCCGCGGUAAUACCGGUGGCCCGAGUGGUAGCCGCUUUUAUUGGGUCUAAAGGGUCCGUAGCCGGUUCGGUCAGUCCAUUGGGAAAUCCGGAUGCUCAACAUCCGGGCUUUCAGUGGAUACUUCCGGACUUGGGAUCGGGGGAGGUAAGAGGUACUACAGGGGUAGGAGUGAAAUCUUGUAAUCCUUGUGGGACCACCUGUGGCGAAGGCGUCUUACCAAAACGAGUCCGACGGUGAGGGACGAAAGCUGGGGGCACGAACCGGAUUAGAUACCCGGGUAGUCCCAGCCGUAAACGAUGCUCGCUAGGUGUCAGGCAUGGCGUGACUGUGUCUGGUGCCGAAGGGAAGCCGUGAAGCGAGCCACCUGGGAAGUACGGCCGCAAGGCUGAAACU